ACUGAAGCUGACCGGAAGUAAAAAUACCAAAAUGAUUACCACAGCGCAUGAUCGUGACGUAAACAAGUCGCGUCCUUGCUCAAGACGAACGCGCUGGACAGCAUUUUCACGUUGUCAACAAACUGCUCACUCAUAUUUCUGAACAGACAAGACAAGACAGUUCUCAUGGCCUCAAACACCAAACCGCAGAUUAUGAACUGGACGGAGGAACAUGAUUCCAUUUUUUGCCGAGAAAUAAUCUUUGUAAACCCAUUCAGUGCCAAGAGGAAAU